CGGAACCCCCGCCCCCAGCCUGGGCUGCUUGCAAAAUGUAAACCUUCCAUUGGAAUGAAGGGGCCACUCGCGAAGAUGGGCUUCAAUUCAGACCUUGCCGCAGGGCAUUCAAAACACCUUGUUGGAUCUCUGUACUCACCUCAGUAGAUCUCAAAAUGCCUAGAGGCCCAACAGAUGCUGUUCUUACCUUGGGCACCGAACCAAUUCUGAUCCUGGCCAGCAUUUCUUCUCCUAACCUUCCCUCUGAUCUUAGAGGCUACUGCUUUUCAUGGCUUUCUCCUCAACCCUCCCUACCACUGGAGAACCAAAGUAUCCUGAUCCAUUCACCACGUUCCAUGUGCAAAAUGAGACGAGGAUCUUUGCACUGCUUUCCUCGAAAAAUGAUGGUUCAGCAUGAGAUAUUUUUGGUCAUAAAAAUUAUGGAAGUAUGGCUCAAUCCCCCAUUUGGUAUCUUCUCAGAGAAAGCAAGAAUUG